AUUGAACGCUGGCGGCAGGCCUAACACAUGCAAGUCGAGCGGAUGAAGGGAGCUUGCUCCUGGAUUCAGCGGCGGACGGGUGAGUAAUGCCUAGGAAUCUGCCUGGUAGUGGGGGAUAACGUCCGGAAACGGGCGCUAAUACCGCAUACGUCCUGAGGGAGAAAGUGGGGGAUCUUCGGACCUCACGCUAUCAGAUGAGCCUAGGUCGGAUUAGCUAGUUGGUGGGGUAAAGGCCUACCAAGGCGACGAUCCGUAACUGGUCUGAGAGGAUGAUCAGUCACACUAGAACAGAGAAACGGUCCAGACUCCUGAGGGAGGCAGCAGUCGGGAAUAUUGGACAAUGGGCGAAAACCUGAUCCAACAAUGCCGCGUGUGUGAGGAAGGUCUUAGGAUUGUAAAACACUUUAAGUUGGGAGGAAGGGCAGUAAGUUAAUACCUUGCUGUUUUGACGUUACCAACAGAAUAAGCACCGGCUAACUUCGUG
rnacentral:rRNA from 1 species